ensembl:snRNA U6 U6 spliceosomal RNA
GUGCUCACUUCGGCAGCACUAAUACUAAGAUUAGAACAAUACAGAGAAGACUAGCGACCCCUUCGCAAGGAUGAAACGCAAAUUCGUGAAGCGUUCCAUAUUUUU